rnacentral:rRNA from 1 species
GACGAGAAUCACAAACGUUAUUCGGAAUUACUGGGCUUAAAGGGUGCGUAGGCGGCGCGGACAGUUGGGUGUGAAAUCCCUCGGCUCAACCGAGGAACUGCGCCCAAAACUACCGUGCUCGAGGAAGAUAGAGGUGAGCGGAACUUACGGUGGAGCGGUGAAAUGCGUUGAUAUGGGGAGGAACACCCGUGGCGAAAGCGGCUCACUGGGUCUUUUCUGACGCUGAUGCACGAAAGCUAGGGGAGCAAACGGG